UACGUAGGGACCAAGCGUUGUUCGGAUUUACUGGGCGUAAAGGGCGCGUAGGCGGCAAUUCAAGUCAGUUGUGAAAUCUCCGAGCUUAACUCGGAACGGACAACUGAUACUGCUUUGCUAGAGUACAGAAGGGGCAAUCGGAAUUCUUGGUGUAGCGGUGAAAUGCGUAGAUAUCAAGAGGAACACCUGAGGUGAAGACGGGUUGCUGGGCUGAUACUGACGCUGAGGCGCGAAAGCUAGGGUAGCAAACGGG
rnacentral:rRNA from 1 species